rnacentral:rRNA from 1 species
CCUACGGGAGGCAGCAGUGGGGAAUAUUGGGCAAUGGGCGCAAGCCUGACCCAGCAACGCCGCGUGAAGGAAGAAGGCUUUCGGGUUGUAAACUUCUUUUAAGAGGGAAGAGCAGAAGACGGUACCUCUUGAAUAAGCCACGGCUAACUACGUGCCAGCAGCCGCGGUAAUACGUAGGUGGCAAGCGUUGUCCGGAUUUACUGGGUGUAAAGGGCGUGCAGCCGGGAAGGCAAGUCAGAGGUGAAAUCCCGCGGCUCAACCGCGGAACUGCAUUUGAAACUGGUUUUCUUGAGUACCGGAGAGGUCAUCGGAAUUCCUGGUGUAGCGGUGAAAUGCGUAGAUAUAAGGAAGAACACCAGUGGCGAAGGCGGAUGACUGGACGGCAACUGACGGUGAGGCGCGAAAGCGUGGGGAGCGAACAGGAUUAGAUACCCUUGUAGUC